rnacentral:misc_RNA from 1 species
GAUGAAGAACGCAGCGAAAUGCGAUAAGUAAUGUGAAUUGCAGAAUUCAGUGAAUCAUCGAAUCUUUGAACGCACCUUGCGCUCCUUGGUAUUCCGAGGAUCAUGCCUGUUUGAGUGUCAUUAAUAUAUCAACCUUCUCUUUUUUGAGUUGUUUGGAUGUGGGGGUUUGCUGGCCUCUAAAAUGAUUCAGCUCCCCUGAAAUGCAUUAGCAGAACAACCUGUUCAUUAGCGUGAUAAUUAUCUAUGCUAUUGAAUGUGAGGGCAGUUCAGCUUUCUAACCGUCCUUGGACAAUUCAUCAUUAAUGUGACCUCAAAUCAGGUAGGACUACCCGCUGAACUUAAGCAUAUCAAUAAGCGGAGGA